rnacentral:rRNA from 1 species
UACGGGGGGGGGCAAGCGUUGUUCGGAAUUACUGGGCGUAAAGGGCCAGUAGGCGGCCAACUAAGUCGGAUGUGAAAUCCCCAGGCUUAACCUGGGAACUGCAUCCGAUACUGGAUGGCUUGAAUUCGGGAGAGGGAUGCAGAAUUCCAGGUGUAGCGGUGAAAUGCGUAGAUAUCUGGAGGAACACCGGUGGCGAAGGCGGGUCUCUGGGCCGAUACUGACGCUGAGGAGCGAAAGCGUGGGGAGCGAACAGG